rnacentral:misc_RNA from 1 species
UAUGAGACUGUUUUUGGUUCUGUUCCUUCUAGGUGGGAGGUUGAGAAGGCCAUGUCUGAUCUCCAAAGUUUCAAUUAUGCUCCAAAAGAAGAGAUGAAUUGGGCUGAACCGAUGCUGGUGAAAUCACCUGGAAAUGCAAGAUUUUAUGAUGCUCUUUAUAUGCUUCAAAAUGAACCAUCAAUUCAGAGAUUGGUUUGUUCCAUAGCUUGUGAUAGAGCUGUUUGGGAAGCCAUGAUGAGCAACAAGGCAGUUCAAAAUCUUCAAGGCUCAGUCAUAUCUGCAGCUAAAGUAGAAGAAUCACAAAGCUCAACUGGGGAUAUCGGAUCCCUCAUAGUGAAAUGGAUUAUGGGCAUCACAACUUCCAGAAUCGCGGAGCUGCUCCAAUCAUUUGGAUCAUUAUUAAGUGAAAUAAUCCAUGAUAUAUUUGAACCAGACAAUAAAGAAAAACCCACAUCAGAACUCUCUGACCUCAUGGAAGAGAAGAUUAGAUCCUCUUUCCUUUUAUCAGUUGUUUUGUUGUUGAUUGUGGUCGUCACAAGAACCCAA